UGCAAGUCGAGCGAAUGGAUUAAGAGCUUGCUCUUAUGAAGUUAGCGGCGGACGGGUGAGUAACACGUGGGUAACCUGCCCAUAAGACUGGGAUAACUCCGGGAAACCGGGGCUAAUACCGGAUAACAUUUUGAACCGCAUGGUUCGAAAUUGAAAGGCGGCUUCGGCUGUCACUUAUGGAUGGACCCGCGUCGCAUUAGCUAGUUGGUGAGGUAACGGCUCACCAAGGCAACGAUGCGUAGCCGACCUGAGAGGGUGAUCGGCCACACUGGGACUGAGACACGGCCCAGACUCCUACGGGAGGCAGCAGUAGGGAAUCUUCCGCAAUGGACGAAAGUCUGACGGAGCAACGCCGCGUGAGUGAUGAAGGCUUUCGGGUCGUAAAACUCUGUUGUUAGGGAAGAACAAGUGCUAGUUGAAUAAGCUGGCACCUUGACGGUACCUAACCAGAAAGCCACGGCUAACUACGUGCCAGCAGCCGCGGUAAUACGUAGGUGGCAAGCGUUAUCCGGAAUUAUUGGGCGUAAAGCGCGCGCAGGUGGUUUCUUAAGUCUGAUGUGAAAGCCCACGGCUCAACCGUGGAGGGUCAUUGGAAACUGGGAGACUUGAGUGCAGAAGAGGAAAGUGGAAUUCCAUGUGUAGCGGUGAAAUGCGUAGAGAUAUGGAGGAACACCAGUGGCGAAGGCGACUUUCUGGUCUGUAACUGACACUGAGGCGCGAAAGCGUGGGGGAGCAAAACAGGAUUAGAUACCCUGGUAGUCCACGCCGUAAACGAUGAGUGCUAAGUGUUAGAGGGUUUCCGCCCCUUUAGUGCUGAAGUUAACGCAUUAAGCACUCCCGCCUGGGGAGUACGGCCGCAAGGCUGAACUCAAAGGAAUUGACGGGGGCCCGCACAAGCGGUG
rnacentral:rRNA from 1 species